UAUGAAGUAGCCACAAAAAGAAUUGUA
rnacentral:piRNA from 1 species